UACGUAGGGGGCAAGCGUUAUCCGGAUUUACUGGGUGUAAAGGGGGCGCAGACGGCAAUGCAAGCCAGGAGUGAAAGCCCGGGGCCCAACCCCGGGACUGCUCUUGGAACUGCAUGGCUGGAGUACAGGAGGGGCAGGCGGAAUUCCUAGUGUAGCGGUGAAAUGCGUAGAUAUAAGGAAGAACACCAGUGGCGAAGGCGGCCACCUGGACCGGUAUUGACGCUGAGGCGCGAAAGCGUGGGGAGCAAACAGG
rnacentral:rRNA from 1 species